rnacentral:rRNA from 1 species
ACGGAAGGCAGCAGUGGGGAAUAUUGCACAAUGGGGGAAACCCUGAUGCAGCGACGCCGCGUGAGUGAAGAAGUAUUUCGGUAUGUAAAGCUCUAUCAGCAGGGAAGAAAAUGACGGUACCUGACUAAGAAGCCCCGGCUAACUACGUGCCAGCAGCCGCGGUAAUACGUAGGGGGCAAGCGUUAUCCGGAUUUACUGGGUGUAAAGGGAGCGCAGGCGGUCUUGCAAGUCUGAUGUGAAAGCCCGGGGCUCAACCCCGGGACUGCAUUGGAAACUGUGAGACUAGAGUGUCGGAGGGGCAAGUGGAAUUCCUAGUGUAGCGGUGAAAUGCGUAGAUAUUAGGAGGAACACCAGUGGCGAAGGCGGCUUGCUGGACGACAACUGACGCUGAGGCUCGAAAGCGUGGGGAGCAAACAGGAUUAGAUACCCUGGUA